rnacentral:miRNA from 1 species
GGUAGAUUAUUGUCUCAGAGUAA